rnacentral:lncRNA from 1 species
AACUAAUACUUUUUCCAUCACUGUUGAUUUGUAAAUUAUUCUUUCCAAAUAAAUGCUAAACUAGACAAUGUGCUGUUCAGAAAACACGUCAUUGAAGUUUAUGUUUCUUACAGAUUACCAGGAAAAGUUUGCAGCUCUGCAAAUCAAGAGUUUAAACACAAACCCCUCAGAAGCUCCUACACGUCACUAACCAAAGAGAGUAACCAAAAAGAAAGUUUCCUGAGAGAUAUGAUCCAUCAUUACUCAAAAGACUUGUAUUUCCCAUGUUACAGACUGCUGGAAAAAAAGUACUUUUACUGGAAAGAUGACCUGAAGAUUAUGUACAAUCUGAAGGUCAGUAACCUUAUUUAUUAUUAACCUGCAAUGGACAAAUCUGAUUUCGAGAACUGAGUUACAUGAUCUUACUAUGAUUAUUGUUGUGAUUUAUAUUUUAGCAUUUUUAACAAUGAAAAUCUUGAUCUAAACUGGAUUUUAUAAACAAA